rnacentral:rRNA from 1 species
GAAACUCAAAUGAAUUGACGGGACCGCACAAGCGGUGGAUGAUGUGGUUUAAUUCGAAGCAACGCGAAGAACCUUACCAGGUCUUGACAUCCCUGACAACCCGAGAGAUCGGGCGUUCCCCUUCGGGGGACAGGGUGACAGGUGGUGCAUGGUUGUCGUCAGCUCGUGUCGUGAGAUGUUGGGUUAAGUCCCGCAACGAGCGCAACCCUCGACCUUAGUUGCCAGCAUUCAGUUGGGCACUCUAAGGUGACUGCCGGCUAAAAGUCGGAGGAAGUGGGGAUGACGUCAAAUCAUCAUGCCCCUUAUGACCUGGGCUACACACGUGCUACAAUGGGCGGUACAAAGGGUCGCGAACCCGCGAGGGGGAGCCAAUCCCAAAAAGCCGCUCUCAGUUCGGAUUGCAGGCUGCAACUCGCCUGCAUGAAGCCGGAAUCGCUAGUAAUCGCGGAUCAGCAUGCCGCGGUGAAUACGUUCCCGGGCCUU